CUAUACAUGCAGUCGAACGCGUUGGCCCAAUUGAUUGAUGGUGCUUGCACCUGAUUGAUUUUGGUCGCCAACGAGUGGCGGACGGGUGAGUAACACGUAGGUAACCUGCCCAGAAGCGGGGGACAACAUUUGGAAACAGAUGCUAAUACCGCAUAACAGCGUUGUUCGCAUGAACAACGCUUAAAAGAUGGCUUCUCGCUAUCACUUCUGGAUGGACCUGCGGUGCAUUAGCUUGUUGGUGGGGUAACGGCCUACCAAGGCGAUGAUGCAUAGCCGAGUUGAGAGACUGAUCGGCCACAAUGGGACUGAGACACGGCCCAUACUCCUACGGGAGGCAGCAGUAGGGAAUCUUCCACAAUGGGCGCAAGCCUGAUGGAGCAACACCGCGUGAGUGAAGAAGGGUUUCGGCUCGUAAAGCUCUGUUGUUAAAGAAGAACACGUAUGAGAGUAACUGUUCAUACGUUGACGGUAUUUAACCAGAAAGUCACGGCUAACUACGUGCCAGCAGCCGCGGUAAUACGUAGGUGGCAAGCGUUAUCCGGAUUUAUUGGGCGUAAAGAGAGUGCAGGCGGUUUUCUAAGUCUGAUGUGAAAGCCUUCGGCUUAACCGGAGAAGUGCAUCGGAAACUGGAUAACUUGAGUGCAGAAGAGGGUAGUGGAACUCCAUGUGUAGCGGUGGAAUGCGUAGAUAUAUGGAAGAACACCAGUGGCGAAGGCGGCUACCUGGUCUGCAACUGACGCUGAGACUCGAAAGCAUGGGUAGCGAACAGGAUUAGAUACCCUGGUAGUCCAUGCCGUAAACGAUGAGUGCUAGGUGUUGGAGGGUUUCCGCCCUUCAGUGCCGGAGCUAACGCAUUAAGCACUCCGCCUGGGGAGUACGACCGCAAGGUUGAAACUCAAAGGAAUUGACGGGGGCCCGCACAAGCGGUGGAGCAUGUGGUUUAAUUCGAAGCUACGCGAAGAACCUUACCAGGUCUUGACAUCUUGCGCCAACCCUAGAGAUAGGGCGUUUCCUUCGGGAACGCAAUGACAGGUGGUGCAUGGUCGUCGUCAGCUCGUGUCGUGAGAUGUUGGGUUAAGUCCCGCAACGAGCGCAACCCUUGUUACUAGUUGCCAGCAUUAAGUUGGGCACUCUAGUGAGACUGCCGGUGACAAACCGGAGGAAGGUGGGGACGACGUCAGAUCAUCAUGCCCCUUAUGACCUGGGCUACACACGUGCUACAAUGGACGGUACAACGAGUCGCGAACUCGCGAGGGCAAGCAAAUCUCUUAAAACCGUUCUCAGUUCGGACUGCAGGCUGCAACUCGCCUGCACGAAGUCGGAAUCGCUAGUAAUCGCGGAUCAGCAUGCCGCGGUGAAUACGUUCCCGGGCCUUGUACACACCGCCCGUCACACCAUGAGAGUUUGUAACACCCAAAGUCGGUGGGGUAACCUUUUAGGAGCCAGCCGCCUAA
rnacentral:rRNA from 2 species